rnacentral:tRNA from 1 species
AGAAACGUGCCAGAGCGGCUGAAUGGGCGCAGCGCCCGCAAGGGACUGCGCGGGUCCAUGGUGACCUCGCAGGUUCGAAUCCUGCCGUUUCUU